CCCACUGAGUUUAAGCAUAUUAAUAAGUGGAGGAAAAGAAACUUACAAGGAUUUCCCCAGACACGACGAGCGAUCCAGGAAAAGCCCAACUUGAGAAUUGGACGACCCUGUCGUUCGAAUUGUAGUAUGGAGAAGCGCCCUCAGCGAUGGAUCGAGCUCAAGUCCCCCAAAAAAGGGUGCCAGAGAGGGUGAGAGCCCCGUUGUGCUCGGACUUACUGCACCACGAGGCGCCGUCGACAAGUCGGGUUGUUUGGGAAUGCAGCGAUAGCGAGAGACUGCCUGUCGACUAU
rnacentral:rRNA from 1 species